UACGGAGGGUGCAAGCGUUAUCCGGAUUUACUGGGUUUAAAGGGUGCGUAGGUGGGUCUGUAAGUCAGUGGUGAAAUCUCCGAGCUUAACUCGGAAACUGCCAUUGAUACUAUAGAUCUUGAAUUAUCUGGAGGUAAGCGGAAUAUGUCAUGUAGCGGUGAAAUGCUUAGAUAUGACAUAGAACACCAAUUGCGAAGGCAGCUUACUACGGAUCGAUUGACACUGAGGCACGAAAGCGUGGGGAUCAAACCGG
rnacentral:rRNA from 1 species